rnacentral:lncRNA from 1 species
AGUGAAGAUUUCAAUAAACCUGGCCAAUUGAGAAAUGCAAAAUUUACAUCCGGCCAACAUCCACUCAUAUGAGAUAAGGCCUUUCUACAUCAAAGCUACAAUGUCAAGGAUCUCUUUGUCAUAGCGCCCAAAUUUCAUGCUUGUCUUUUAAACCUGAAAAUAACCAAGAAUUUUCAAGAUGUGUUUGUAAAAUCUGUGCAACAACGAUUGCUACCUAAAAAAUUCCAAAAAGUACUCACUUCUUCAAUUUGUACUAGUUGAAAAAAAACUAUAGGCCGAGUUUAAGGUAUUACCAUGGCUUUCGCUACAUUUUAGGGAAUUUGUUUUUUUGAUAUUAGAUGGAGAGAUAUGAAAUAUGAAGAAAAUAAGAUGUCAAAUGAGAAUAUGCAAACGGUGAUGUUGGUGGAAAGGUCGUGACCCUUGUAUCUCCUUUAGAAGUCAUUUUUCCAGAAUGAUGAAAUUCAAACGCCGUGAUCCAUUCGUAUGGGAUAAGUGAGUAAAGGAAAAACAAAAAUACAUAUGUAUGAACGAAGGAAGGAAAACAUAACUUUUAAAAAGAGAUGAUGCAUCCACUCCAUAGAGAUGGACAAAAGCUUUGAAGAUGACAAAUGGUUAUUAAAGCCCAAUCCGAAAAAUAUUUUCAGUUGCCUUUUCAACAUACAUGAUGUAGAAAUUCCUCACCAUUAUGACAGGCAUUAGAUUCUAUAUAUAAUUGCCAUAAGUCCUUCAAAAUUUUGCCCUUGGGUUCUCUUA